ensembl:snoRNA U8 U8 small nucleolar RNA
ACAGAAGUAAGAUAAUCCUUACCUGUCUUUUUCUUGGAAUGAAGGUUGGAACAUGAUGACUGGUGUGCAAUUAACAUCUGUGCAUAAUGAAUACUUGUAACACCUUGAUUGCUCCUAUCAUAU